GACGGCUCUUGUUCUUUCUUUCUACUUCAUUCAUGUCUAGGGCUGUUACAUUCGUUCAAAUGCCAAUCUUUAAUUGUCCAGCCUUUGUUAGAUUCUUCAUCUUGAUAGAAAAUCUGAAGAGAAAAUUAGCUAAAACAUGCCGUUCAUCUCAGUGUUAGAAGUAGUGUUUUUUGAAUACACUGCUGCAAAUUUUCUAAUGGCAGAUCCGCAGAUGUUAAGAUACCCAGAAGUGGUCAAUUCUUGUUUUACAUUUUGAGGAUUUGUGUAGCUAUGAUAGAUUGAUCUAUUCAUAUGUUUUUUUGUGGGGUUGCACGUUUUGGUAAUAUCGUAGGUAAUGCAAAUUCAAUAAUGUUUAUGGUUGGAAUGUGUACCUAUUAAUCUUUUGUCAAUCAGCUAACGGGAAAAAGUGAUGUCUCGGUACACGUUGUAAAACUUACAUGUGCAUACUGGUCCAGUUGUUUGUACUUAGAAACAGUUUUGGUUCUUAACAUCUUUCAAAGGAUAGCUGUUUAUACUUUGUUUUGCACUGUUGCUUUCAGGUUCAGUAUAGUUGGGUUAUUGCAUUUGUUUGUAGUCCCAUCCUAACAGAACAAUUCCGUUAUUUGUCUUCCGUUGUCAAUUAUAUUAGCUUGAUCACUUUUGCUUGAGGGGUUAGUCCUGGUAUUUGGUUCAAGAGAAACAUCGCAAACGUAAAGGUAAUGGUGUUACCAGCACGCUGGUACCGUAGACGUAAACGGACAAAACUCAAACUUGUUUGGUAGCGGACUGUAACGUAAUCAAUUCGUCUCCAGAGAAGAAAAAAGCUAACAAAUCUCAAAGGAGCAGCCAUGGCAGGGCUCUCUCUGGGUCUGGCAUGGUCGUGAUUGCUGAUGCAGAGGGGCGCCACACGGGGACGUCGCCGAUGCAGUGGGAGUCUGGCGGACCAUGGACACCAGGGGCUUGUCGGCGACCGCGGCAAGCAGCAGGCCCAGCGGCGACGCCGACGCCCUGUAGACGUGGUUGUCGUCAAUGAACUCCUUGAAGAACAGGAACGGCGGGCACCUCGUGUUGCUGAGCCUGGCGACGGCAAUGUCCACGUCGGCCUCCACGAAAACCACACCCUUCCUGGCGCAGUCCACCACCAGCUUCCGACUGGCCUCCUCGCGCAGCCAGCCGGCCAGCAUGUACUAGUGCACCAGCGUCUCCGCCGUGGGCGCUGGCUGAGCCGUCGACGGCAACAUGUCCAGUGAUGGCGGACAUGACUUAGGCGGCGGUGCGUGGGAUGAUAGCAUGUGGUGCAAGAGAGCCGGGUCGAUCCAAACAAGAUUCAUUGUUAUCCCUUACCAGCGUAAACAGGUUACAAAUUGGUGAACCAAACACCUUCCUAGUUUUUGCAAACUAAUACUUGAACCACUUAUCAAUCAUGUCUUGUCUUUUUUAGUUUCGUUUGAUAUAAGACUAUGGUUAUGUUAUACAGAAGAUCAACAAAUCUGUGGUUAGUGCAUUUAAC